rnacentral:rRNA from 1 species
AUGUUGCAUUCUUUGUUUAAUUAUUUUAUGUCUGGUCUAUUUACUAACCGAGUUAAUUUUGUCAUGCAGGAGAGUAGAGAAAUUUUUAGGGGUUCCUCUAGUGCUACACAUCCACCUCCACAACCACCACCUCAACACCAAACUUCACAGAUGCCAGCAUCAUCUGCUCCACCUCCUAAAGCAAUGAGGAACACAAAAACAACAGCAAGUAAGAGAGGUUCAACAUCAACAGUUUCAGCAGGAGCAGUCAGGUCUUCACCAGCACCUGCAACAGGAUCAGCGUCGACAAGAGCUCCAAGAGGAUCAACAUCAACAAGAACAUUCAAUGCACCAAGAACAUCCACUUGA